rnacentral:rRNA from 1 species
UACGUAGGUGGCGAGCGUUGUCCGGAAUUACUGGGCGUAAAGAGCGCGCAGGCGGCUGGUCAAGUCCGACGUGAAAUCUCCCGGCUUAACUGGGAAAUUGCAUCGGAAACUGAUCGGCUUGAAGGUGGGAGAGGGUAGCGGAAUUCCCCGGUGUAGUGGUGAAAUGCGUAGAUAUCGGGAGGAACACCAGUGGCGAAGGCGGCUACCUGGCCCAUUCUUGACGCUGAGGCGCGAAAGCUAGGGGAGCAAACGGG